UACGUAUGGGGCAAGCGUUAUCCGGAUUUACUGGGUGUAAAGGGAGCGCAGGCGGCCUGGCAAGCCUGAUGUGAAAUACCGGGGCCCAACCCCGGGGCUGCAUUGGGAACUGCCAGGCUGGAGUGCCGGAGAGGCAGGCGGAAUUCCGUGUGUAGCGGUGAAAUGCGUAGAUAUACGGAGGAACACCAGUGGCGAAGGCGGAUUGCUGGACAGUAACUGACGCUGAGGCACGAAGGCCAGGGGAGCGAAAGGG
rnacentral:rRNA from 1 species